GACGUAGGGCGCGAGCGUUGUCCGGAUUUAUUGGGCGUAAAGAGCUCGUAGGCGGCUUGUCGCGUCGGGUGUGAAAGCCCCGGGCUCAACCUGGGAAUUGCAUUCGAGACUGCGUAGCUAGGGUACGGAAGAGGGAGGCGGAAUUUCAGGUGUAGCGGUGAAAUGCGUAGAUAUCUGAAGGAACACCAGUGGCGAAAGCGGCCUCCUGGUCCAGUACCGACGUCAGGCACGAAAGCGUGGGGAGCAAACAGG
rnacentral:rRNA from 1 species